GUUUGUGUGGAAAACUGUUAUUAAGCAAAAUGUAGGAAGGCAUUUGGAAAUGUCAACGAGAUGAGCGCAUCAGCGCCCACGAGGCAACAAGCGCAGGUUAAUAAU